CCUCUUUCUCAUAUUCUAUAUGAGUCAAGAUUGGUUAAUUCGGCUCUUAUCUUCUUUAGCUGCACCACAACCUCUCUCAUGUUUAUCCUUUCCUCUGGUAACUCUUUCAAACAUAGGAAUGCCACAUUUAUGAUCAAAACCAGCAACUGUUUGAUUUGGCUUUGGUUUUCAUCAACUGUAACUCUUCUAAAGCCAAUGUCACUAACAAGGUCAGCGUCCAAAAUGUCCAGUACAGCAUCAGGAAAGGAGAGACAUACCCAUUUAUGCAAGCUUAAGUUUCCUCUGAACUUGUCAUUGGUAGUCUUCUUUCUUGUGAAUGUCUCAAGCAACAAAAUCCCAAAGCUAUAAACAUCACUGCUGGUGGAGACUUGUCCAUCUAAGCCAUAUUCUGUUGCAAUAAACUCCUAGUUAAAAUGUGAUAGAUAUAUGCCAGGAAGAAAUGAUUGGAACUUAUUUGGUUACUAUUCUUACAACAAUAGGUUGUGUUCUUUGGUACUUGAAUGUGUAGUUACCCAUGUUAUAGUACAAAAUGUUGCACUGUCACUGUUAUAAAAGUAGAAGUUUCUUGCCUAUGCGAAUUUCCCAUGAGAAAUCGAUUACUACAGAGGGUAUGAAAAUCAACGUUACGGUAGACGUAAAGGAAAAAAGAAACCAGCGUAGGACACCUGCAGUUCAAGACAUUACCAUACCUGGAGCAAUAUAACCAAUAGUUCCGAGUGUUUUGGUUUGAGCAAUGUUUCCUUCUUGUGCCAGCAUUUUUGCAAUUCCAACAUCUGCUACAUGAGCAGUAAGAUCCUGAUCAAGAAGCACAUUAGCUGGCUUCAGAUCACAGUGCAUGACAGGCACUGUAUAAUCAUGAUGAAGAUACUCCAUGGCCAGUGGUAUGUCGAUCAUUAUAUUGAGUCUUUCAACCAGGUGCAAGCAAUUUUUUUCGGAGUAUAAUUUCUUGUUUAAGCUUCCAUUAGGCAUGUACUCCAACACCAUUGCUGUGAAAUCCAACAUUUGAGCAAGUUGACACUAUCUUGACCAAGUUCCUGUGUCUUACAUUGCUCAAAAUUUCUUAAACCCCCUUGCCGUUGCAUAUUGAAAACUUUGAUUGCAAAGACAGUACCGCUAGCAAAUGUACCUCGGUAGACUGUACCGGAACUUCCACUUCCUACUAGGUUGGACUGACUGAAAUUUUCUGUAGCUUGGAGAAGCUCAUAAUAAGUGAUUUUUUGAUAUCCCAUUCUAGGUGGGGAAUCUGAUUCAUUGUUUCCAACCACAUGUUUUCUCCUUGACCAAAUCAUCCAUGUGAAAAACAACGCGACCAAUAUCAGAAAUGAUGCAGCAAAAGGUAAUAUCGUUCUAAGGAUAAGGGACUUUUUCCUUGUUGUCGCUCUGCCUUGAGCUGGACAUAAAGGAAUAAAUAUAUUAGGUGCUAAAGUUUUGGAUUUCCCAUCAAGAGCCGGUAAUUAAGAUUUGCAAAUACUCCUUUCUUUGGAACUUCUCCUUGCAAGUUGUUGAAAGAAACAUUGAUAUACUUGAGAUCUCGCAAUAGCUCAAGAGAGUUGGGAAUCACACCUGAUAAAGCAUUAGAAGACAAAUCCAGGUGCUCAAGAACUUUUAGAUUGCUAAAUACGUCUGGUGUGGGACCUUGGAAUGCAUUACUUGACAUAUCUAGUAAAACUAGAUUUUGAAGGGACCCUAUGGAAUUGGAUAAUUUUCCAAAAAACUUACUAAAAGAGAGGUCCAUGAUUCUCAUUGCUUUCAGGGUUCCCACAUCAGAAGGGAAGAAACCAUGCAGCAGGUUUCGGGAUAAGUUCAGACCAUCAAGCUUUACUAAUCUCCAGAAACUUGAAGGCAACUUUGAGCUGAAACUGUUGGCAGCAAUUGAUAUUUCUCUUAAUUCAGUCAGGUUUCCUAUACAUGAGGGUACCGUUCCUGAUAGUCUGUUUUCUCCCACCAGCAAUUGACCUAAUCUUCCUAUGCUGCACAGUUCAGCUGGAAAUGGCCCUUCUAAUUUAUUUCCAGUAAGAUACAGCCUUUCCAGGUUUUGCAGGCCAACAAACGAGGGGGCCACAUUGCCGACAAGGUUAUUACUUUCUAAUCCCAGCAAGGACCCUGAUGUUGCUUGAUAAAUUUCCUAUUGAUUCUGGGAAUAUUCUGUUCAAAGGAUUAGAUUGAAGAAUCAGAUUAUUUUGCAGGUUACCUAACAUCAUGGGAAGCCGUCCAGUAAAACUGUUGUUUGCAACUUCAAGAUUUUCAAGCUUUGAAGCAUUGCAUAUUGUAGAUCUCCACUGAAUUGGUUGUGUGAAAGGAAAAUCUCGUGCAACUUAGGUAGCCAAGAACCAAGAUCACGAGGAAGGUGUCCAUUUAAGUAAUUAUGCCGGACCUUGAGAAUUUCAAGCGACGAAAUAUUGAAUAAGCAGGAAGGAAUGGCACCAGAAAUUUGAUUAUAUUCAAAUUCAAACCAGACUAAGUCAUGCAACUUACCAAACUCACUUGGAAUAUUUCCUUGCAGAUCAUUUUCAGUGAAGAAAAGAUCAGUAAUCUUCGAUGCAUUAGAUAAAGAAACCGGAUUUUCCCAGUGAUCCUGUUGCUUUUCAGAAAAAGAUGUUCAAGGAUAGGAAGAUAAUUACCCAAAUAACUUGGAAGUUCCCCUAAGAAGGCAUUUAUGGAAAGAUUUACAAUUUGCAACCUCGAAAUAUUGAAAAUUGAAGCAGGUAUCGAUCCAGUGAAGUUAUUUCCACGAAAUGAAAGGAGCCUCAACUUGGAAAGAUCGCCAAUUUCAUCAGUAAACGGCACCGACUUAUGUUCGGAGGAAUGGUUCCAUCAAGAGAAUUCCUAGUCACAUUAAGAAGUCUCAGUAGUUGCAAGAAGCCCAAUUCACUUGGCAAAUUUCCAUUCAAGUCAUUGCUACUAAGAUCAAGAACAGCAAGUUUAGUCAAGUUGGCAAUAUCUGAAGCAAUUCUACCUUGAAUAGACAAGUUAGGAAGUUGCAAUGCUACAACCCUCUGAUGCAAGCAUGAAACUCCAUACCAGCUGCAGAAGUGUGUAUCUGAGCUCCAGUUUGUGGAUAAAAUAUUGUGUGGUUCCAUUCGCAAACUCGAUUUAAACGCCAGUAAAGCAGCAUAAUCACUGAAGUUGGUAUGUUUAGCUAAACAAAGUGUAUAAAAGAAGACCAGAAGUGCAAGAAACUCUAUCAGCUGAAUGUUCAUCAUUUGUGAUUUAGGAUUCGUACUCUCACAAAGAGAACUGUUCAAGAGUAGAAAUUGUGUUGAUCAAUCUAUAAAAGACUAGGCUGUUGGUGGUUGGAAAAAUUCAGUUCCCUUUUCUUUUCUUAAAUGAAAGAAUAUAAUUCCGUUGGACAUACUCGACCACAAAAGUUAGUUCAUGAAGUUAGAAUUAUUCAAAAUCAUAUAACGACACUAACCAAUGUGGAACUCCAAAACUACCCUACACGCACAAAACUAGACAUUUGGAGCGCUACUCGAACGUCAUGCUAAGACGUUGAACGUAACUCAAUCCAAAAGACUUACAAGGGAAAGAUUGUACAAAACUAUUCAAAGACUGCAUUUUGUACUCUCGUGACUCUAAACAGUAUGUGUAAAGAACAAUUCCGAAGCAACACGAAAUCACAGGGUUUUUUCUUCCUUGCACACCAUAAGAAUUUUCUGGUUUUAAAACAGGGUUAUUAUUUUAAACUAAGCUUUGAUAGUGUUUAUAUGUCCUGUCCACUAUUACAUUUUAGUGGGAAGGCAUAUCAAUAUUGUAUCACGUCUUCACUAAGAGACAAGGGAAGGUUAAAUAAAGUUUAUGGC